rnacentral:rRNA from 6 species
AAAUUGAAGAGUUUGAUCAUGGCUCAGAUUGAACGCUGGCGGCAGGCCUAACACAUGCAAGUCGAACGGUAACAGGAAGCAGCUUGCUGCUUCGCUGACGAGUGGCGGACGGGUGAGUAAUGUCUGGGAAACUGCCUGAUGGAGGGGGAUAACUACUGGAAACGGUGGCUAAUACCGCAUAACGUCGCAAGACCAAAGAGGGGGACCUUCGGGCCUCUUGCCAUCAGAUGUGCCCAGAUGGGAUUAGCUUGUUGGUGAGGUAACGGCUCACCAAGGCGACGAUCCCUAGCUGGUCUGAGAGGAUGACCAGCCACACUGGAACUGAGACACGGUCCAGACUCCUACGGGAGGCAGCAGUGGGGAAUAUUGCACAAUGGGCGCAAGCCUGAUGCAGCCAUGCCGCGUGUAUGAAGAAGGCCUUCGGGUUGUAAAGUACUUUCAGCGGGGAGGAAGGUGUUGCGGUUAAUAACCGCAGCAAUUGACGUUACCCGCAGAAGAAGCACCGGCUAACUCCGUGCCAGCAGCCGCGGUAAUACGGAGGGUGCAAGCGUUAAUCGGAAUUACUGGGCGUAAAGCGCACGCAGGCGGUCUGUCAAGUCGGAUGUGAAAUCCCCGGGCUCAACCUGGGAACUGCAUUCGAAACUGGCAGGCUUGAGUCUUGUAGAGGGGGGUAGAAUUCCAGGUGUAGCGGUGAAAUGCGUAGAGAUCUGGAGGAAUACCGGUGGCGAAGGCGGCCCCCUGGACAAAGACUGACGCUCAGGUGCGAAAGCGUGGGGAGCAAACAGGAUUAGAUACCCUGGUAGUCCACGCCGUAAACGAUGUCUACUUGGAGGUUGUGCCCUUGAGGCGUGGCUUCCGGAGCUAACGCGUUAAGUAGACCGCCUGGGGAGUACGGCCGCAAGGUUAAAACUCAAAUGAAUUGACGGGGGCCCGCACAAGCGGUGGAGCAUGUGGUUUAAUUCGAUGCAACGCGAAGAACC